UACGUAGGUGGCAAGCGUUGUCCGGAUUUAUUGGGCGUAAAGGGAGCGCAGGUGGUUUCUUAAGUCUGAUGUGAAAGCCCACGGCUUAACCGUGGAGGGUCAUUGGAAACUGGGAAACUUGAGUACAGAAGAGGAAUGUGGAACUCCAUGUGUAGCGGUGGAAUGCGUAGAUAUAUGGAAGAACACCAGUGGCGAAGGCGACAUUCUGGUCUGUUACUGACACUGAGGCUCGAAAGCGUGGGGAGCAAACAGG
rnacentral:ncRNA from 4 species